rnacentral:rRNA from 1 species
GUCCCAAAAUAUAUGUUAAGUGGAAAAGGAUGUGGCGUUGCCCAGACAACUAGGAUGUUGGCUUAGAAGCAGCCAUCAUUUAAAGAGUGCGUAAUAGCUCACUAGUCGAGUGACACUGCGCCGAAAAUGUACCGGGGCUAAACAUAUUACCGAAGCUGUGGAUUGUCCUUUGGACAAUGGUAGGAGAGCGUUCUAAGGGCGUUGAAGCAUGAUCGUAAGGACAUGUGGAGCGCUUAGAAGUGAGAAUGCCGGUGUGAGUAGCGAAAGACGGGUGAGAAUCCCGUCCACCGAUUGACUAAGGUUUCCAGAGGAAGGCUCGUCCGCUCUGGGUUAGUCGGGUCCUAAGCUGAGGCCGACAGGCGUAGGCGAUGGAUAACAGGUUGAUAUUCCUGUACCACCUAUAAUCGUUUUAAUCGAUGGGGGGACGCAGUAGGAUAGGCGAAGCGUGCGAUUGGAUUGCACGUCUAAGCAGUAAGGCUGAGUAUUAGGCAAAUCCGGUACUCAUUAAGGCUGAGCUGUGAUGGGGAGAAGACAUUGUGUCUUCGAGUCGUUGAUUUCACACUGCCGAGAAAAGCCUCUAGAUAGAAAAUAGGUGCCCGUACCGCAAACCGACACAGGUAGUCAAGAUGAGAAUUCUAAGGUGAGCGAGCGAACUCUCGUUAAGGAACUCGGCAAAAUGACCCCGUAACUUCGGGAGAAGGGGUGCUCUUUAGGGUUAACGCCCAGAAGAGCCGCAGUGAAUAGGCCCAAGCGACUGUUUAUCAAAAACACAGGUCUCUGCUAAACCGUAAGGUGAUGUAUAGGGGCUGACGCCUGCCCGGUGCUGGAAGGUUAA